GCAAAUGUCUUAAUUUGUUUAUAAUUUUUACUCAAAACUCCUGAUUUUUUGAUGAGUUUAUGAGCAGGUUGCAUAAACAGACUAAAAUAUAUCUAAACACAAGAUAAAAUGUACAGUUAUUCUCCACUUUAAAUUACUCGCAUCCUUCUUCUUUUUCAGAUCGGAGAUCAUAAUGAGUGACUUCAUUUCCCGCUUGUCUUCUCUGCCAGUUUUAUUAAUUUCUAUUAUCUUUAAUGCAACCAAGAGGGAGCACCAUCCAAUGUUUAAGCAUGCUGCUCACAAGUCCAGAUGAAUGCAGGAAGUUGUCAGGAACAGCAUCCAACAUAAAGUCAAAUUAAAUAUAUUUGGACUAAAAUAAGGCUUGAUUAUUUAGGAUGGAGAGGACAGGAUUAGAUUGAUACAGAUGAUUCACUGUGAUGACCCCUGAAGGAAGCGUUGGAAGGCAAAGACAAUUCUGAUUGUAAUCUAAAAAGAAAGUAUGUUUUUCCUACUUUUUUAUUGUUGUUAUUAACUCUUAUUACAUAAGAGCAUAUUCAAAUUAUAUAUAUUUUAUUCUAACCCUAAAGAAAGAGUAAAUUCCAUUCAUACAUUUUGGUAUUUUUAAUAGGCGAUUUUCAAAAUCUAAAAAUAUUCCCCAAGAAACUAUAAUAAUCCCAUAACUGCAAUCCCGAAACUGCAAAGCAAAUCCAGGUAGGUUAUGAUGGGAAAAACAAUCUUUUAUACGGCUGUUUCUUGAUUCCUCACAGAAAACUGGAGGAGCAUGACUCCAGUUCUCAAAAUAACCACAUGGGUAACGCCACCUUUGACAUCAGGGAGGCCACUACCAAACCCAUGUAGGAGGACAAUAUUUUGCAUUUAGCAUAAAAUUGUGAUUUAACUGAUCAUUUCAGGAGUUAAUAAGUUCACUUCUGAUGAAUUGGUCCACUAACCCCCUCAAAAAAAAAAAAACUUAAAGAAUUUUAGUGCAAUAACUUUUAUUUCUAUUUGCUUUUGCUUGUUAUUCUCUCUUAAAAUCUGUUUCAUUUCACUUUUAGACAUUUCUUCUUCUUUGCGGAUAAGAGGAGGUAUCCUCGUUCUUCUGGCAGUCAUCAACAGCACUUUCUUCAUCUGGAGACAAUGUGGAUUGAAAAGAAGAGAAGUUGAGAGACAAAGCCACAUCUAUGAGAUACCAUAAGGAGGAUGAUAAGAGUCGACAAAAGCAGGUCCAGGAAGCUUAACUCAGAGUAUCACAUCACAGACUCUUCUGAUAAAUGAAAGCUCAUUUUUUUGUUUGUUUUACUGCCACCUGCUGGAGAAAUUGAGAAAGGUGUUAGUUUUUCUUCACACUCUUUUUGUGUGUUUUGCUGAGAUGCCACAAACAUCCAGCAGAGGGCGGCAAAAUUAAUUUAGUGCAGCAAAAAAAAGACAAAUUCUCCACAAGAAGUACAGAUGGGUUUACAAAUGACUGUUUACUGGACUUUUGCUUUAAAUGUGGUUCUCAAUUGGCUAGCCUAAAGCCCAAAUCUAUUGAAGAUAACAAUCAAAAGUAAAUAAAGAAAUAUAAAGAAAUGUUUUUAUUGUGUUUGUCUCUUUUCUUAACAGAAUGUGUUGUGUUUGUUCAAUCAAUAAUGAGAUGGUAAAACACUUUUUUGUGUGCAGAUCAUUUGUUCUAUUUGGGUGGGAGCAAAAUUUGUUAAAGUUGGUGAAUUUUUGGUCUUAGAUGAGUUUGUAUUGCCCCAAUUUCCUGCAGAAAAAUUCCUCCAGCAACAAUUACAUUAAAACUAUCCAUCCGUGAAACGCUGGUGGUUCUACAACUGUUGUUUUCCAAAAUGCUUCCCAUCUUUAAAAACAAUCCAUUUUCUUUUUUUUUUUUUUAAACGCUGUAGUAACUUCAAGCUCCAGAAAUAUUUUGGGUUUUAAAACUACAAAAAGCUUUUAGGGGAAAUAAAAACCUCAUUUUUAAUGAUCUUUUCACCGUUUAAAAGUGUGGAUUGUUACAUCGCAGCAAAGUCCUUUCAUCACUGAGACAGCGGCCAAUGUGAGAACAUAGUAUAUAGUCCCUGUUAACACUACAACCACCAAGGCAGCAAAGUGUGAAAAACCUACGGACUAAAACUAAUGUGUAUUUUAUUAUAACAUUAAAAUGUAAAAAAAAAAA